UCCUACGGGGGGCAGCAGUCGGGAAUAUUGCGCAAUGGAGGAAACUCUGACGCAGUGACGCCGCGUAUAGGAAGAAGGCUUUCGGAUUGUAAACUAUUGUCGUUAGGGAAGAAAAAAGACAGUACCUAAGGAGGAAGCUCCGGCUAACUACGUGCCAGCAGCCGCGGUAAUACGUAGGGAGCGAGCGUUAUCCGGAUUUACUGGGUGUACAGGGAGCGUAGACGGCAGUGCAAGUCUGGAGUGAGAGGCGGGGGCUCAACCCCCGGACUG
rnacentral:rRNA from 1 species